GAGGAAAAGAAACUAACUAGGAUUCCCUUAGUAACGGCGAGUGAACCGGGAUGAGCUCAAAUUUGAAAUCUGGCGUCUUUCAGGCGUCCGAGUUGUAAUCUAUAGAGGCGUUUUCCGCGCCGGACCGCGUCCAAGUCUCUUGGAAUAGAGUAUCAAAGAGGGUGACAAUCCCGUACUUGACGCGACAACCGGUGCUCUGUGAUACGUUCUCAAUGAGUCGAGUUGUUUGGGAAUGCAGCUCUAAAUGGGUGGUAAAUUCCAUCUAAGGCUAAAUAUUGGCGAGAGACCGAUAGCGAACAAGUACCGUGAGGGAAAGAUGAAAAGCACUUUGGAAAGAGAGUUAAACAGCACGUGAAAUUGUUAAAAGGGAAACGAUUGAAGUCAGUCGUGUGAGGGGUAUUCAGCCGUCUCUGGCGGUGUAUUUGCCUCUCACGGGUCAACAUCAGUUUGAUCCGGUAGAAAAAGGCGGGAGGAAGGUGGCACCCUCGGGUGUGUUAUAGCCUCCUGUCAUAUGUGCCGGACCAGACUGAGGAACGCAGCUUGCAGCAAUGCCGGGAUUCGUCCACGUACAAGCUAGG
rnacentral:rRNA from 1 species